rnacentral:rRNA from 1 species
CUACGGGAGGCAGCAGUCGAGAAUUUUUCACAAUGGGGGAAACCCUGAUGGAGCGACGCCGCGUGGGGGAUGAAGGGCUUCGGUUCGUAAACCCCUGUCAUUGGCGAACAAGUGUUGCGUCCUAAUACGGCGCAGCUUGAUAGUAGCCGAAGAGGAAGGGACGGCUAACUCUGUGCCAGCAGCCGCGGUAAUACAGAGGUCCCGAGCGUUGUUCGGAUUCACUGGGCGUAAAGGGUGCGUAGGUGGUUGGUUAAGUUUGAGGUGAAAGCUCCGAGCUCAACUCGGAAAAUGCCUUGAAGACUAUCUGACUAGAGGAUUGGAGGGGAGAUUGGAAUUCUCGGUGUAGCAGUGAAAUGCGUAGAUAUCGAGAGGAACACCAGUGGCGAAGGCGAAUCUCUGGACAAUUCCUGACACUGAGGCACGAAAGCCAAGGGAGCAAACGGGAUUAGAUACCCGCGUAGUC